GAUAAUUCACAAGGGAAAAACGUAGAAAAUAUUUAAUUAAAAACUUUUCAUCUAUGAAAAUUGUAUAAAAAAAAAAGAAGGAAAAAAAUAACAAAAUCAGAAUUUUCAUCUAUUAAAGAAAAAGAAUAAGAAAAUAAAACAAGAUGGAACAAUUUCCUCUCGGAUGAACAGGAACCAUAAUAUUCCUUCUAUAACAAAAUGACAUCAAAUAACAGCUGUUCAUCGGAGCAUAACAUUUUCCAACUCCAGCAUUCAUCUUAUUAAGAUAAGAUUCCAUCAUAACAAGCGUCAAGUAACAAGAAUUUAAUUAUCGAAGGAAGAAGUAUGCACUUGAUAUGC